UUGGCCACACUCCUUCAUGUCUUGUCGUGUGUAUGUGCGAGAAGGCAAGAUUAGAAGGGUGCUGUGGUUGGGGGGGGGCUGCUCAAUAAAAAGGGGUUUUCUCCACAAUGGCCUAGCAAAGCUGAAGUCAAAGAACAAAAUUAGCUUAGUGGCCACAUGAGUGCACAAUAUUAUAUUCUAUCCAGCAAUAAAGCCACAUGCAAAAAGGAAAAAUUAUUAUUUUUUGUGAUGAAAUCCUUACAUUUAGUGGCCACAGGGCCACCUUGCUUUGGAAUGCACCGCAAAUGUGUUUACAACUGUGGCUAGACAUUGGAGGAGUCAAAACAUUGUACUUUUGAAAGAUUUUCACCUGAAAAAUAGAUAUGACUGAGUUGCCCACGACAUCAAGUUACCAACUCAGUCAGGCCGGAAAGGGAGGACACAGGAAACAGGGAAGCAUCCCACCUCUUUCCUUCCCACUUCCUGCAAUCACUUCCUGCCGCUGGCUGGGUGAGUCGCAACCCCAAAAGAGCGAAGAUGUGUCUUCAGUUAUGAUGGCCAAUCAGAGCUCCUAUUUUUGUACUAUUCUAAUAUAAACACAGUGGCCACGGCGAUCUGCUACUUCCUUGCCAAUCACGUUUGCGCAGUUGGUUUAUGUGCGAGGCACAAUAGGCCAGCAUGUGCAAGGAAUCUGAAGAAUGCGGUUUAGGAGAUGUCCGCGCUCACUAAUGAAGACAAUAUGGAUGGCUGGCCUUUCAGCCUUCGGCGCUGCGGCUCUGGUUUGUUUGUUUGGGAAACAUUCGCGGGUUGCUUCCGUGGGAAGAAAUGGAGGAUGUUUGGUGCUUGUUGCAAAAUGUUUGAAUGUUUUUUUUUUUUACAUAGAAAUUGGCUGCAUUGGAACUACUGUCUAAAUAUGAUAUGACUAAAUUUGACACCACCUGAAAAGGGGUUAUUAUUCCUAAA